rnacentral:rRNA from 1 species
GGAAUAUUGGACAAUGGGCGAAAGCCUGAUCCAGCCAUGCCGCGUGUGUGAAGAAGGUCUUCGGAUUGUAAAGCACUUUAAGUUGGGAGGAAGGGCAUUAACCUAAUACGUUAGUGUUUUGACGUUACCGACAGAAUAAGCACCGGCUAACUCUGUGCCAGCAGCCGCGGUAAUACAGAGGGUGCAAGCGUUAAUCGGAAUUACUGGGCGUAAAGCGCGCGUAGGUGGUUCGUUAAGUUGGAUGUGAAAUCCCCGGGCUCAACCUGGGAACUGCAUUCAAAACUGUCGAGCUAGAGUAUGGUAGAGGGUGGUGGAAUUUCCUGUGUAGCGGUGAAAUGCGUAGAUAUAGGAAGGAACACCAGUGGCGAAGGCGACCACCUGGACUGAUACUGACACUGAGGUGCGAAAGCGUGGGGAGCAAACAGGAUUAGAUACCCGGG